rnacentral:rRNA from 1 species
GACGAACGCUGGCGGCGUGCCUAAUACAUGCAAGUAGAACGCUGAAGGAGGAGCUUGCUUCUCUGGAUGAGUUGCGAACGGGUGAGUAACGCGUUGGUAACCUGCCUGGUAGCGGGGGAUAACUAUUGGAAACGAUAGCUAAUACCGCAUAAGAGUAGAUGUUGCAUGACAUUUGCUUAAAAGGUGCAAUUGCAUCACUACCAGAUGGACCUGCGUUGUAUUAGCUAGUUGGUGGGGUAACGGCUUACCAAGGCGACGAUACAUAGCCGACCUGAGAGGGGGGUCGGCCACACUGGGACUGAGACACGGCCCAGACUCCUACGGGAGGCAGCAGUAGGGAAUCUUCGGCAAUGGACGGAAGUCUGACCGAGCAACGCCGCGUGAGUGAAGAAGGUUUUCGGAUCGUAAAGCUCUGUUGUAAGAGAAGAACGAGUGUGAGAGUGGAAAGUUCACACUGUGACGGUAUCUUACCAGAAAGGGACGGCUAACUACGUG